AGCCUCAUUCUAGAUGAGAGUGGGCACUGUUGACAAUAGUGUUCAAACAUUGUUAAUGUGGCUACAUUGAGACACAGGUUAUGCUUCCGUCACAGUACAUGUAUUACUGUGGUGACAAUGAGACCUGUGACAUUC